GUACAUGCCCUUGACCGGAAUCGAAUCUGGGACCUUUCAGUCUGCAGGCCAACGCUCUAUCCACCGAGCCAAACCGGUUAGGGCAUUACUUACAUUCUUAUGGGCAUAUAAUUAUUAUGACCUACAGGACAUUUUAGUAUACUAUGGUAUUUCCUUUUAUUUUCUUUUUCUUUCCACAAAGUAUUUUUCAGAGAUAUUUGUUAUUUCUGUCUUAAUUAUAUUGUAUUUAGAAAUAUGUUUUAUGAUUUUAGUCCCUUUAUAUUUAUUGAGACUUAUUUUUAUAUCCUGAAAUACUAUCUAUCUUGGUAAAUAUUUUGUGUGCAUUUUGAAAAGACUGUGCUUUCUGCUGGUGUGGGAUAGUGUGUGCUAUUAAUGUCAUGUAGGUCAAGUUGGUUGAGAAUAUUGUUCUAUGUACUGUCUUUGCUGAUAUUGCAUACUUGUUCUGUUGAGAGGGAUAUUGAAAUAUCUGACUAUCAAGGUGGAUUUAUCUAUUUGUUCCUUACAGUUCCAUCAUAUUUUGCUUCAUGUGUUUUGAAGCUCUGCAUAAAUUUUUAGGAUUUUUAUGUGUUCUAUGUGAGUUGAUUCUUUUAUUAUUAUGAAAUUACUGUCUUUAUCCUAGGUAGUAUUAUUUGUUCUGACAUCUACUUUGAUAUAAAUUUAUCCACUCCAGCUUUUAUUAGAUUCAGCGCAAUUUCUAUGAAAAUUCCAGUGGCAUGUUUCACAGAAAUGAAAAAGAAAUCCUAAAAUCUGUAUGGAACCACAAAAGACCACAGGUAAAUUCCCAUGGAAAAGUAGAAUAGAAUCUUGAUAUGACGAACUAAUUCUGGAUAUUUGGGACCAGAUGGUAUACUUUAUGCCCUCCUUUCCCUUUGUAAGGUUUUUGGCUGAUUAAAUUAUAUGACUUUGGGAAAGAUUUUUAUCUUGACAAGUGAAAGAGUUCUGGAGGCUGGAAGUCCAAGAUCAGAAUGCACGUAUGGUUGAGUAAGGUCUCUUUUCCAGAUCUUAGACUUCUCAUUCUAUGUUUCCUCACAUGAUGGAAGGGCUAAGCACUGAUACAACUUAUGAAGACUCCACCUUCAUGACUUAACCCUUCUAAAGGUCCUUCCUCUUUCUGCUAAAUUUAAUCAUGAGGAAACUAAUUAGGUAAGUCUGGAAUGUUGGACCAUUGCAUAAAAAUAGAUUUUGACC